rnacentral:lncRNA from 1 species
GCCACUGAUGUGGGCGGAGCGCGCCGCCGAUGUAGCCGGGAAGUUGGGAUGUAGCUGGCUCGGUCGACGAGCGGGCGGAUCUCGACUGCGCCAAGUGGAGUGGGCGGGGAUGGACCAAUGGAGAGAUUGGGGGAAUAUGGAGAGAGGAGAAGAAACUAGGGAUGGAAACACAAGAGGAUAUGGGCCCACAAAAGUUUGGAAUAUAAUGUGUUUUACAAUCUAAGCAUUUUGAGCCCAGCCCAAGCCUGGUGGGUUCUAGUCCGCCCACGAUAGCUGCGGUGUUGGGCGUAGUCAGCGAAAACCAAGCCAAAAAAAUCGGGCCAGCCCAAAGCUGCGCAAACAAUUAAUUUCAUUUAUUUUUUAACUAAAAAGAACAAGAAGCCCAAGCCCAAUCUAGGCCCAGCCCGACAAUGCUGAUGGGACUGCUGUGGGCUGAAAUUUUUGACCCGAAAUGAACCGAGCUUUUUUGAGCCAGUGUGACCCAGCCCACAAAAUGAUCAGGUCUAGUUAUAGCUAGGCCCAUUGGAGCAUUGGUCUAUGGAUGACGUCGACAAAAUUACAGAUAGCGUACUAUAUUUACAGUGUUGCGGGUGUCCUAAGAAAAAUGUCUAUAACAAGAUCAAUAUGUUCUUGGCCUACAAAACAUGGAUAGAAAUUUGAUAAUAUAAAAAUGUGACCACACUUAGUAUUCAAAUGCUGCUACUUCCGAUAGACAAGUAUGCCCAUCUACUACGGGGCGUAUGUUUAAAUGACAACUUCUUUGGGUAGACAAGUGAGAAUUACACACCAGGUUUUAAAUGCUAACCGCCGAUUUGAAUAGGCAAGUAGUACAACUAGGGAUGAAAAUGCUACGUAUAUUAUCCGUCCGUUCGUAUAACCAAAGUAAUUCAGACACUCGAAUGGAUAGUUCGUAUCCAAAUUCGUUCAAUAUCUGUACCGUCACUACGGGAAACAGAAGCUUUGCCGAGUGCCAGAGGCACUCGGCGAAAGCCCAAAAACACUCGGCAAAGGCUUUGCCGAGUGUAACACUCGGCAAAGAGCAUACGGCAAAUUUUGUGUCGGCAAAGACUAGUUUGCCGAGUGUCAAAACGCGAGCACUCGGCAAACAUUUUGCCGACGGCCAAAAAAUACUUGGCGAAAAGAUGUACUCGGCAAAAUACGCGCUGACGGCGUCGGGGGUAACGGCGGGUUUGCCGAGUGCCAGAUGGGAGGCACUCGGCAAACACCGGGUCUUUGCCGAGUGCCAACACUCGGCAAACACCGGGUCUUUGCCGAGUGUCACGGAGUGGGCACUCGGCAAAGCCGGCUUUUUUGCCGAGUGCCGUGUCACGGGCACGCGGCAAAGACGGGCCCUUUGCCGAGUGUUAGGGUGGGCACUCGGCAAACAACCCUGCCUGGGUAGCUGGGAAUUAGGGCCUUUGCUGAGUGCCUCGCGCCUAGCACUCGGCAAAGACCCCUUGUUUGCCGAGUGCCUUGUCCCUAGCACUCGGCAAAUAAGCUUUCCUACACCUGGGAAAUGCACCUUUGCCGAGUGUUAAAGCCAAAACACUCGGCAAAGGCCCCUCUUUGCCGAGUGUUACACUCGGCAAAGUGACCAGAACCCCCCCUUUUUCGACAUUUUGCCACGUAUAACGGACCCCUCUCAAUUCACAAUACACAUAUCACAGGCAUUUGUAAUAAACAAUCACAUGCAUAAUUCACAACCACAGGCAUAAUUCAACAUAAGCACGAAAUAAUCCAUAAAUCCAAGUUCUUGUCACAAUUUAGUUUCCACAUUGUUCACAACCAAGUCUACUUCCGUGGAGGCCAAGGAGAUCACUGCGACAAAUCUUGAUCUUCAUUAUUCGAAGCCGCCGAUUGAUUCUGCACAUAGGAUAGGACAUUCUGAGCUAACAUCUAAAGUUGUCAAAUUUAAAGUAUUAAAUCUUAAGCACAAUGUGUCAAGUGACUCACAGGAGUAGUCAUGGGUGGCUGAGGCGGAGGGAACAUCAUCGGCGGUGGCGGAGGCAAAGACUGUCCCAUGCUCAAAGCAAAGUUCUGCAUAUACUGGAACAUCUGCUCCAUCCUAAUCCGGUUUUCCUCCUCCAUCCUCCGCCGCAUUUCCUCCAUCUGCGCCUCCAUCUGCGCCGCCAUCUCCUCUUGUUUCUUCCUUGAUUCUUCCACCUGGGCCUACAAUAUUUCAUUGCAAUGUUAUAAUGCAAAGCUAAAGUAUAACAACAAACGAACGAUGAAUGGAAGAGAAAGAACCUGUAGAGCUCCAUCUGGAACUGUGCAGCGGUGGGUCGUGGCCGUAUCGCCGGGCUCGAGUCCGUGCUCCUAGCUCGAAUCUGGGAGAGAGUGGGAGUAGAGGUCGUGUCGAUGACGCCGUCGCCAAUCCAAUAUCGGCCAUGCUUCUUGCCUCCUCCCACCCUCAUCAUGAUUUCUCCAUCAAUGUCCUCGGAGCUCGGAUCGAAUUCUGGCCCGUGAACCUCCCUAGCCAUCUUUGUAUACUCGCUGACGCGGCUGUGUAUGCUAGGGUGGCUGUACGCCUCGGACGGGUCAUCUGGGUUGAAAUCUAUAUCAACCGUCGCCUUGCCCUUUUUGGAGAGGACCCAUGCCUUGAGCUGGGAGCAAGGUCGACCAUCAUGUGACGCCGACUGUGGCAAAAUACAAAAUCAUUAAAAAUUACGUAGAACUGAACAUUACAAUAAAGAAUUGAAGUUGCGUACCCAUUUUUCUCUAUAUUCAUCAAGGCUUAGGCUGCCUUGAUGGUGUGGUGCAGUCGGCAUCUGCAAACGCCACUGUCGGCAAGCAAGGUGGUUCUCCAACCACCCGGGCUCCAACCACACGUCGACCAUCCUCUCCCAGCACGGCAUAUGCGCACGACACCACCACGGAGGCACCUACAUCAUCAAGCGUGUGACAUAUGAAAAAGAAAAUGAGCCUAAUUAAUCAUAAAUAGUAAGCAUCAACGUUCUUUACUUACCCUCAUGAAUUGGUCCUUAGUCAUGUUCAUUGUUCUUGCCUCCUCUUUUCUAACCUUCAUCUGUCUGUAUUGAGCGUGGAAUUCGAUGAUGGCCUGGAUGCACGCCUCGUAAUGCAUGUCCUUCAUGAGCUUCUUGGCGGCUACAUCACAGACGGCCUUCGCCUUGACCUCGAACCCCUCCUGGCAUCUAUAGAAGUCCUGCAUAUACACGCGUAUAUAGUUAUUAUUUCAAGAAUGUCGAAAGUAGGUGAUGUAUUGAGCAAUUUAGUACGAGGAGUACUUACCCACAGCUCGGCCUUGACCCGCUCCGCUAUGUUGGGGAAUCUUCUCUGUUGACGAUCAGGGACGUCGGGGGCGGCAACGUAGUGGUCCCACGUGUAGGCCGGCUGCAGCUGUCCAGCGUACACCACCAAGCCAGGGAAGUGAACCAUGCACAAAAGGCAAAGGAUCCCGUUGGCCUUACGAUUGUGGUCACCCCCACUGAGCUUAAUCCAACUCCUGCACAAGUCAUUAAUAUGAAUUAUUAGUUUUUGUAAAAGUCAACAUAAGAACAAUAUUAAGAAUAUUUAAAGUUACUUACUUGGUCCCAACCGGUUUAAUCAGCGGGCGUAAAUGCUCAGGUAUCGGCCGCUUCGGGAGGGAUGAGGGACCUCGCAACCAUAUCUUGGACUAGGCAUCCCCUGCCUCCCCGUCCCCCUCCUGCUCCUGCUGCUCCUCCUCCUCCGCCUCCUCAUCCCCAGAGGCGUGUGCGGAAGGUACCUCCUCCUCCUCCUCCUCCUCCUCCUCCUCCUCCUCCACCUCAGGUUCAGGCGACGGGGGCCUCGCCGCUUUACCCUUCCCUCGAGGCCUCUAGACCACCACCUCCUCCUCCUCCUCAACCCUACGUCGAGGCCUGCCUCGACGCCUCCCUCGACCGCUCCCUGAACGUGACCCUGACCCUGAACCAGUCCCUGCCGCGGUCAGUCUCUCACAAAUCGAUGUGAGCUUCCUCAUACCGCCCACCAUUGCUUAAUGACCAGCAAUUAAAAAGAGUACACGAGUCAGCAUAGGCAAACAAAACAUAAUUACAAAGAUAUGCAAAUUAUAAUUAAAUUAUAACUAAAUUAGUACGAAUCAUACAUGUAUUAGAAAUAAUCAUCAUGAUCGGGUUUAGUUGGAUCAUAAGUCUCAUCAUCACUAUCACGCGUGUCGAUAUAGUCAAGCUCGUGCUCCGAAGAAGAAUGUCGUCAUCACUGUCAUUAGCUAACUGUAAUCGUUGAAGUAAUUCUAAGUCCUUCACAUUCUGAACCUCGUCUCCACCGUCCUCUGCAGCAACCCUCUCGUUGUCUACUUCCAUUCCGAUCGCUUCGGUUAAAUCUAUCACAAAACUCCCUUCGAGCCCAUCUUCUUGGAAUAACUCUCCUUCGUACGUGUCGGGGUCUAUAUUAUAAUCUUCAUUGUUUGGUACAGGUAGUUUACCGUGUGGCGAUACCUUGUACACAACAUCCCAACCCUUAAGACGGCUGUCAGUUUGGCACGGGUAUGACAAAUAAUAAACUUGCGUGGCUGUCGGUGCGGCGGCCGGACGGGGGCGGGCGCGGCCGCGCGCGGGCGGCCGGCGGCGACGCGGGGGAGGCCGAGGGGCCGGCGGCCGGCGCCCGGAUCCCGGCGCGGGCGGGCGGCGGCGGCGGCGCGGCCGGGCGGCGACGGCGCGGGGCGGCGGAGCGGGCGCGGGCGGGCGGCGCGGGGGGCCGGGCGGGCGCGGGCGUGUGCGUGUUCGUGUUGUGCCUGUGCCUGUCCGCGUGAGGCGCGUGAUGCGCUAAGAGUGGUUAGGCCGCCCGCUUUGGCGAGUGCUCCUGAUCUAGCACUCGGCAAAGGCUUUGCUGAGUGCUAGAUCAGGAGCACUCGGCAAACAAUUUUUUUUUUAAUUUUUUUUUCGGAUUUCAAAGUGCGGCUGACAGGUGGACCGCGGCGACGUUUGCCGAGUGUCCCAGGGUUGACACUCGGCAAAUAGGCUCUUUGCCGAGUGCCAUUCCUUGACACUCGGCAAAUAGGUACUAUUAUUUCAUGUCAAACUGGUUUUAUUAAUUAAAAGUAUGUAAAGUUUGCAAAAACCUAGUCAAAUUCACUAAACAUUGCGUAUUUCAUUUUUUAAGUAAUAUUGUUCCAUCAUUUCAUGGAUUUAUAGCUCAUAUUAAAUUUAUAUCUAUUAAAUUCAUAUACGUGCAAUUAAUGAAUAAAAAUUACCAAACGGAUCUAAAAAAUUCCCAAAAUUUGACAUGAACCAAUCUAUGUUCUCUAUAGCCUAUAAAAAAAAUGGGACUCAAUGAGAAAUACAUGUAUCGAUUCGUCUCAAAAUCUUACCGGAUCCUUCCAACUUCUACGAAUCCUCUCCGGAGAUGCUUCGAAUUCUAAACAUCAUAUGUCAAAACUUGUGCGAAACCUUGUCAAUUUUUUACCACAGCCUCUGCAUAUGAAAUCAUAGCAUCUUGCAAAAUCUCGUGAUUUUCAAACUUCGUUUGUAUUUUUGAGAAUUAAACAAUCAUUUGGCCACACGUUCGUAGUCGUGUUUCCUUAGCAAAAUGUUCGAAAUUUCUUUUCAUUUUCUGGGUGAGACCUCAAUUUGGACUCACUAACAUGAAUAUGAUUUUUCCACUCAUAUUAUUCCAUUAUUCCAAUCACCUGCAGUUCAAAUUUGACUUAAAUCAAAAAAUUACUCUAAAUGAAAUUAAUUGAUUAAAUAUAGCAAACAGGUCAAAAAAUAGUCCACCUUCUACCAUGCAGUGCCAAAUGCCAUACAUGUGGAGUGUAAAAAGUUUGGAGGGUGGAGGAGGGAAAAAAAAUUACUUUUGCCGAGUGUGUCGAAAAACACUCGGCAAACCCUAAAGUAUGCCGAGUGUUCCCUCUAGCACUCAGCAUACUCGCCACUUUGCCGAGUGUCCCAUGACGACACUCGGCAAAGUAAUAGGUUUGCCGAGUGUUCCAUCACGACACUCGGCAAACUAGUAGCUUUGCCGAGUGCCCCCCGUCGACACUCGGCAAAGCCUAACGUCCGUCACGGCGCUGGCCCAUUGCGGCACGGGGAAGUCACGUGCUCAUCACUUUGCCGAGUGCUCCAUCUUUGCCGAGUGCCCCGUGGGUGUUUGCCGAGUGUUAUUUUGGUGGCACUCGGCAAAUAGUGUUUUCGCCGAGUGUAUUAUGUUUGCCGAGUGUUUCGAGUAUUGCACUCGGCAAACCGGUCCUUCGCCGAGUGCCCGCAAUAAUACACUCGGCGAAGUAAUUAGACUCGGCAACUUUGAGGUUUCCCGUAGUGCGUAUUCGAAUCUGAAUAUUCAAAGUUGAAUAUUUAAUAUGCGAAUAGGACAAGUAUCAUUAUUCGACACAUUUUGACACUAUUCAUAUCCGUAUUUGAUCCGAGAAAAAAAUAAGUAUUUGUAUUCGUAUCCGUAUAUAUUUGAUCCGUUUGUAUCCGAUCCGUUUUCAUCCCUAAGUACAACAGAUCUCGUGAUACUUUGGAUGAACACGAUUGAGACGGAUGAAGAGGUUGAGCUAGUUUGGUUAGCAGUGGACCGGGAGCCGCAAACUAUGCGGAGACUCAAUUCUAGAGCAAACUCUGAAGUCUUGCAGGAUCUUCAGAAGUUUUCGUUUACCCUGUCCCUAAUCCAUGAUCUCAGAUAUGAGGCUAGAACACAGUAGCAGCAACGAAAGAGGUAAGGCAAAAUGCAAUUCCGUUCCGCGAGGAAACAGGCAAUGAGACAAGGUCCAGAUAAGUACAAUGGUCAGCAGUGACUCACAGUACUGAGGUGAAUAGUGCUGUACAGUAUCGCCCACAAUACCCAAUAAUAUCUCUCCUCACAACUGUCGACUACUUAUCGUGCAUAGCCGCUGCACGAGAACCCGGCCAUGCUCGUGUUGUUGCUAUCCUUUUGUUUUCGCUAGGAACCUCUGUAUAUUUUCUGGGACGAACUUCUGCUUGAUAUAAUAAUAAUCCAGAGUUUACUUAAAAGAAGUGCUCCUCCAACGCGAAUUUGGGCCGCUACGGUAACAGUUCUCACGGGGCAUAUGCUCCCUCAAGCUCUCUCUGCGUGCACCUUCCAAUCUUGUGCCAGUUUAAGUUGUUGCUGCAGCUAGCUUGGAUUGGGGGCACUAGUAGAUGAAGUGAAACCUCCGAUUGGGAUGUUGGGGACUUUUUUUUAGAAAAAGAUAAUAUUCUGGCCCUGCAACUGCACACAGCAAGUUUUAACAAUAUUCUUAGCUCACAUGCUGAUUACAAUAAUAGGGGUAUAGUAUAUAAACGGUAGGAAGAAAUCAAAAGCAAAGUCUGUUAUUGUUUCUCCAUCUAUUUUUGGCAAAAAAAAAUCCAAGACGACAACCUACAACGCCUUAGACCAUCUCCAACAGCUUAUGUAAAAUGGAUUGCUAUCCAUAAAAACUACCAGAUACCAAAAACAACUAAAAAACUGCUUCAACCUACAUGGAUUGCUAUCCCUAAUGUUUUAGGCUAUGAUCUAAAUUUCUCUCUCCUAUAUGCAAAUAUAACGAUCCUAACUCUGGAUUGGUAAAACUUGCAGUGCUUCGGCGGGAAGGACAACUGCUCCGAUUGUGACUGUUCAACUCGGAGGCUUCCGCGCCUGGCUCACCCUCUCGGCCUCUCCGCCCUCGACCGCCGGCGCUAACACGGAAGGCGAUGGACCUCUGCCAGCAGCCCCUCCGCCAACCAUCCUGCACCCUUUCUCGUCUCCGGAAGCCCCAACGACGAGCCAUCCCAUCUGCCAGUGCCCCUCCUCUCCCUGUGAGCUUGACCCCCGGCACGCGGGUGAGCUUGACCUGCUCGCCGCUGCCGCAGCGAGAGACGCCGCACUGAAUCCGACAUGUCGAAUCAGAGAGAAGCUCAAGCGGCAUGGCCUACGGCAGUGGGUGAGGCCGAGGUGGCUAGUGGCGAAGGGGAAGGAAGGAGGAGGUGAGGGAGAGGUCGUUGAUUCGAUUUGAGGCCGUCCACCACUGAAUCGUUGUCCUCCGCUUUGAUUUGAGGCCGUAGGGGAGCUCAUCUCCCCAUCCGACAUCCUUGUCGCCAUCCAUGGAUGUGAGAGGAGCUCGUAGGGGCUGUAGCUCGUCGAUUUGCCAUUGAGGAGAAAGGCAACAUCGAUUUGAGCAGAGGGGGAAGCAUGGACGACGUCAAUUCAGGGGCUGAACGCAGGGAGGGGAGGAGGAGGCGGGCGCCGGGCGCGAGGAUGCGCGGAGGAAGAUGGCGGUGUGAGAGGGAUCGAACGAGACAAAGAAGGGGAUUUUUUUGGCGUGGACAUGACCUUUUGCCAAAAGGCCCUCAUUAAAAUAUGUAAUUUUUAGUAUUUUCCUGUGUCUUGAUCCUUUACGAGAAACCUUAGGAUCACCAAAGUUUAUAUAUGAAAAUUUUCUCUCCCCUAUACUUCAAACCAAUUUUAGAUCACUAAUUUUACCUAUGCUGUUGGAGAUGCUUUUACGUGACAAAUGAACAAUCUCCCUUGUUGGGGACUUACGGAGGUCGAUACGGCGGAGGAAAUUUUGAAUCUACUGUUGCUGUGCUUGAUUCGUCCGCCGAGCUUUUUGUGUGUUUGUGCUAGCUCGACUAAUUUGUGAGUAAGAUUUUGAUUGUUUUUUUUUUGUUUGGGUGUUGCGGCGGCCUAUGCUCGUCCAACGAACCGUGCAAGAGGAACCACCAUUGUGGCAUUGUGCUUGAACACGAUGCUUUUUUUUUCCAUUCACAGUCUCUGACAUCCAAAUGUCCAUGUGGCUCCGGUGAGCAGGGUUUGGUUUUCUGAUCCACGGUUCGAUUUCUGUAGUAUACUGAAGCUGCUCUAGCAUACCGGUACAAAACGUACUGAAGGAGUACUUGGGAGGCCCGGGACUCCUGUCCCCGGACACGUCUGGCGCUUCCACAUGCUGCGUGCGCGGCCGCGGGCGUGCUUGUUUUGACUAAGGCUGCGACACAGAGUGUUGGGACUUGGGAGUGCUGUUUGGCCUCUUGGCCUUUGGAGAUCAGUUUUCCAGAGAGAGAGAUUGUGACCCCUUGUUUACUUCCCUCCAAACUCCCAACUUUGACACCAUGCAAAAAGAAGAUUCCCCAUCAUAUCAAACUUGCGGUACAUGCAUGGAGUACUAAAUGUAGACGAAAUCAAAAACUAAUUGCACAGUUUUGUUGUACUUUGCGAGACAAAUCUUUUAAGCCUAAUUAGUCAAUAUUUGGACAAUAAUUCACAAAUACAAACGAAACGCUACAGUGUCGCAUAUAUGGCAAAAUGCCAAUUUGGCACCUCUCAACUUGGGAAGUAAACAAGGGCUGAGUGGGUAGAUGUCACGCACAAUUGCAACAAAUCAAUAUUAUUAGUAGGGUAACGCUACAGCUGGCCGUCCGGUGGAUGGUGAAAAUAUCGAACGCGGGUCCACACGGAAAAAAUAUAUUAUGCUUCUUCAUCACACGUUGCCUCCAUGCAUUCAUUUCUUAUCCUUUCACUUUCCCCUCCUCUGGUUCCUUCCAUGAGAAGCUACUCCCCUUCUCAUCCAGGCAUCUAGCCCACACACACGCUAGAUGCUAGUGAGAUUGCAGGGGUCAUCCCCCACACCCCCAAAGGUCAAAGCAGUGCACCCACCGAGCUCCCGCUGGGCGCUGCCGCCGCCGACCUGGGUCACGAGCUAUUCCCAUUCGUGUCGUUUGAUGAUAUGAUCGCAGGAUGCUGAGUCGCUUGCUCCCAUGCCAGUGGUCGAGCCAUGCACUUGCUGUUACUCAUGUGCUUACCGGGAGGAGGUCCAUGGAAGGGGAAGAUGGAUGUAUGCACCGUGACUCCAUGAGAGCAUUCUAUUGUGCUCUGGAGGAAGAAGACUUUAGAGGCACCACUAAGCCACGACGUACCGAAAUUUUAUGAUGUUGCAGUUGGUAUUUUUGAGAUGUUGGGAUUAGUGUUUGCUGAUGUUGCACUAGAUGGUCUUUGAUGUUGUAAUGUUGGUUUUGAGAUGUCCAGUUUCAUGUUCGGUUUUUCCGAUACAUUGGAUGGUUUGAGAUGUUGGGGCGGCCUCGCUGAUGGGGAGCUUCUUUAUGAUGGAUAUGAGGCUCCUUCAUGAAUGAGGUCUCUGGAUCUGCAUAGGACUUUUCAAUGUUGCAGUAGCUUACCUAAGAUGUUUCGCUAAUUGACCUUUAAUGUUGCAUCGUCUAUCAAGUAGAUCUGCAAUGUUGCUACUGUUAUAAGUUUAAUGUUGCAUCGUCUAUCAAGUAGAUCUGCAAUGUUGCUACUGUUAUAAGAAAAUGUUGCAUGUAAUGGUUUUUAAUGUUUCACGCAUGUGCGACUGAUAGACUGUGAUUUUCGUUGAUUGAUUUUUCAUGUUGAAUAUUUGCUUUUGAGAUGUUGCAGUUAAAUUGUGAUGUUUUGCUUGUUGGUUUGAGAUGUUGCAAAAAGUUUAUUAGCCUAAUUUUGUUGUUAGGGGAUCAUGGCAUAUGGAUUUUGAGUUAUGAACUCAUUUUUUGUGGAUAGACGCGAGGCGGGUAUGUCCGACUAGGGAGGAGCUGCUUGUUGAAAUGACAGUUUGCUGAAAAGAAAUCGAUGUUUCUUGCAACAUUAAGCAAAUGUUUUAGUGGAAGUUUUUUUUUAAUCUAAUAGUAGCAUCCCAGUGUCCGAUGCUACGCCCGGAUGUUCGACGUCCGGGCUAGCAGCGCCCUUAUUAGUAAUAGAUAGGUGUACCGAUCUACUACGGAUGAAUGUCUAAAUGCCAACUCCUUUGGGUAGAUAAGUGUCCAGAUCUAGGUAGGAUUACGAGAACUACACAUCAAAGGUUUAUAAAUGCUAACCAACAUUUGGAUAGACAAGUGCAACAAACGGAUCUCGUAUUCUCGUGACACCUUGGAUGAACAGCGAUUGAGACUGUUGCGAGGUUGAGCUAGUUUGUUUAGCAGUGGACCACCAGGGAGCCGCAACGCAAACUAUGCACAGAGACUCAGUUCUAGAGCCAAUUGUGAAGUCUUGCCGGAUCUUCAGAAGUUUUCGUUUACCCUGUCCCUAAUCCAUGAUCUCAGAGUCAGAGGUUACAUUGCUACAACACAGUAGCAGCAACGAAAGAGGCAAGAAAAAAAAAAGGAAUUCAGUUCCACGAGGAAACGGGCAAUGAGACAAAGUUCUGAAUCUUCAUAGCUUUUCGUGUACCCUGCCCCUGAUCCAUGAGACAACGACAAUCCCAGCCUCAGAGAUGGCAGGUACAACGAAACAGGCAAGGAAUGCAAUUUAGUUCGACAAGGAAACAGGCAAGACAAUCAGUACAAGAUCAAACAGCAGCACUGCUGACCACGCAUAAUUACGAAUCCUGAACCCAUGGACACCUUUUAUUCCUGCAUGAUCCACUGCCAUUGUACACCGCGGACAGAGGAGAGAGUACACAGCUCACAGAGUUUCGGACACAACACAGUUACCGCCAGAUCUCGCCACGACGCCACCAGAUCGAGCGCCCGCCCGCCGGCCGGAAGCAGAUCAAUUGUUAGUGGCGGCACCGGCGUCGCCCUCCUCCUUCUUGUCCCCCUCGGCGGGCGGGUUGAGCUGGAAGGCGGUGACGGGGAAGGCGCGGCCGAGCCCGGCGGGGGUGCGGAACACGACCUUGGUGCCGGAGGGGCUGACGACGAUCUCGGAGAUGGUGACCCAGAUGAGGAGCUCCUUGCUCUUGACCCCGGUGAGGCCGCUCAUCCGCCCGGGCUCCACGAACGCCGUCACCUCCUUGUCGUACCACACCUGCUUCCCGAUGGUGUCGAAGGUGUGGGUCACGCCGGCGGCCUGGCGGAGCCACACGAAUCCCGUGGACCGGUUGUACCCCACCUCGUCGAGCGCCGGCAGCGGGAGGAGGCCGUCGGGGAGGCCCAGCUCCACCAUGAACUCGCGGGACUUCUGCGCGCACAGCUCCCGCCCCGCGUGCACCUCCGCGCCGGAGCGGUGGUCCUCGAUCGCCUGCGACGACAUCUCCGGCGACGGCGGUGGUGGUGGAGGGGAGGAGGGAGCUGAGGGGGGUUUCUUGGUUGGUUUGGUUCUCUCUUGCCUGUUUGGGCUUGUUUGGUUUACUUUUUCUUGGAUUCUUGCGAAGAAGGUUGGGGAAGGUGGGUGGCGUGUUUUAUAAGCGGAGGACCGGACGGGGAACGGGGGAAGAAGACAGGUUCCCUUUUCAACUGUGAAUCGUGAUCGCCGGGGGACGAAGACGGAGACGGGAGAGCGCUAAUCAUCAGAGAUUGAGUGCAUUACUGGUGCGGGUGAGAAGAAAGUAGAUCUGACGAAGAAGCAACCUGGCCUGGGUCCGAUCCCAAUAAUGGCCCCGCUGGCUGUUACAGUGGACUACUAACCUCCGUUUCCAAGAAGUUGAUAACUCUUUGACCACUGCAUGGUUAAUGGUUUAUGGUUACCAAGAUCAAGAUGAUACACUUUUCUUCAUACGAAAUUACCAAAAUGUUCCUAAAAAAUUAUCUCUACAUGUUUGCAUAACAUUUUAAUACUAUUUUAUAAAAGUCAAAAUACUAGAAAACAAUAUCUUAAAAACAUGAAUUCGCAAGUAUUUGCAAAUAGAUAAUGUACUUAAAAGUGUAAAGUAUUUGAAAAUAGAGGUUAACGUACGAUGCUAGGUGAUGGGCUAUGCGGUUGGUCAACCGUCUUAAAAAGUUGUACCACCAACCUGAGACACUACGUUGAAUUAUUUACAUCGAAAAAUCACAUGGAUAGUUCAGCCCAACCAUGCCAUAACAUUUUUCUUUUCGAACGAACGGAGCACAAGAUAGAUAGUGAUCGUUUCUAUUUACAUAGAAGAAGAGUAGAGAGUAAAAUGCCUAAACAGGCAAGAAAACAAUCCAAAAAGACUGGGAAAAACUUGCUAUACUGGCUAUACAACAGAAAUAGUUAGGUUCAUGCCAUAACAUUGAAGCAUGGUUAAUAACACGUUUGUGCCUCUGUCGCGCCGUGCAACGUCUAUAUAGUUUAAUAGCAAAAUAAGAAAAUAAACAAAACGGAUCAUUCAGCUUCUAUUGUCCCGUACGUGUUUGACGCCUUAGGCCUUGAGUACACACACAACAAUUGCUGCCAUAUCAGCCAUUGUGCUGAGAUACUAGCAUAGUAGCAUGGCACAGCCUAAAAUUUUCGUGCCGUGCUUUUAGCCAUGCUAAAGAGAUCAUUGUUGCAGACAAGGUACUAAAUAGUAUCUGUAGCGCCUGGAAUAGCAGCUGCUAUAGCAGUAGCGGACACAAGAUAGCAUGUUUGGACUUAGCGGCCGCUAUUGCUCAUAUUAGGCCGCUAUUUGCUAUAUUUAUAACUCUAGUGAUAUGUGAAUAUGAAUUAAAUGGUAAUAAUAGUGUUUAAAAUAAUUAUUUAGAUACUGAAUAAAUAUGAUAAUUUAAUGUUAAUAUAUAUCCAUACAUCCUAAUUACAUCUAUUUAUUUGUGAUUCUUACCAUGAAAUGUAAUUGCUAACUUAAAAUUUUAACUUUUUUAAAGUGAACUCGAUGUUAAUAUUCAUAUAUGCUCUUAAAUUUUGGCUAUUUUUUUAAUUCCGCUAUUUGAACUUAACGUCCGCUGUAGCAUCAUUAUCCGCAAUCUAUUUGGACUUAACAUCCGCUGUAGCAUCCGUUAUCCGCGAUCCACUGCAUCGAUCCUAAUCCGUCCCAAGUUCCAACCCUCUAGUGUUAAUGACUGGUAUAGUAGUAUUUCCUAAGGGCACGUGCAAAGGACCCGUCUAUUCGUGUCCAGGUCAGCAGAAUCAGCCUCCGUGGCGUUCAUUAAUUGAAGAAAGAGGGAGUUGCCGGCGUCUCGUUCAUCUACGGCACGCGCUCGUGCUCCUAACGCAAGUCGCCGUCUCCCCGAGCGCGUUGUAGGAGCUGCUGCGGGUCGCCGACGGUGGCGUGGAUCCGGUGCGCGCGGCCUCAGCGUGGGGAAAAUCAGCAAUGGUGGAGUAGCUUGCCUCAGCGUGCUCGUCGCGGCCGCCGGUUGCCUGCUCCGCACCACCAGUCAGCCGCAUGCGCUGGCAGCCCAUGCCGAGCGGCGCCGGCGCCGGCCGCCGGACGUUGCGCCGCGCCGGUCGUCGGACGCUGCACCACGCCGCCCAAGCUGAGCCGUACCGGCCGCCGGAUGUUGCGACGGCCAACCCAAUCCACCGCUUACUGCCUGUCGCCGUGCCCAGAUGCAAACGGGAGAGAAAAGAAAAGGAGAGUCAACAGGAGAGAUGGGCAGGAGGGUCAUGGUAGUCGGCAGAAAUAUCUUCACCAUUUUACAUUAUUGCCCUUAACGAAGAUAGAAAUUGAAGAAAGUUCUCUUAGGAAAGCUAGAAGGAUAUGAAUGAAAAUAAAAAAAUUAUAUUUCAGUCCUUUAGGUAGGGGUUAUAUUCUUCGGAUGGCGUACAUAAUGUAUUCUCACAUAAGCAACAAAAUGGUAUACAAAGAUUAUGUUUAUGCUUGAUCACCAUAAUUUACAGGUUUACGGUUUACAUACAAUAUAUAGACGAACCAUUAUACAAGAUAUCUAUUUUACUAUCUAUGUGUGGUGUGGUAAGUUUUUACAGACAACAACCAUCUAUGCUGUUGUACAUGCCCUAACUGCUGGUAUCUUUGGGGCAGCAACUCAUACGCAAAAGUAUCCCUUUCCCAAGACAUUGACAAUGACUCGCAACAGCCUUCUAGUACGUCAAGCAGAUCAAGCGGUUGAGAUCUUUUCUCAUGGUACAUACAUGAAUGUUUAGAACCGAUCGACCUUCUCCUUUUCUGGAGUCAUUCUUUCGAAUUGGCAUACUCUAACGUUGGUAAAAGUGGUGGCUUUGAACAUGAGCAUUAUGCCGUAUGGUACGUGUGUCCAACAUGCUUGAGCAGUGAAACCUGCAUACGAGCCUUGGGAACCAAGAACAUGCCACAGGGCUGGAUCAGAUUCAGAUCCGAGCAGUCACAUCCACAUGGUCACAUGACGAGCAGCGGUUGGAGGUGCGUUGUCGUGCACCCCGUCGUCCCUGGGCGUGGUCCCUGGAGCACGAGCAUUCGAUGCUCUGCAUGCCCGUUUCCUCGGAACAGGAGAACAGUUGCUAUGGCACUACCGGCUCCUUUACGGGCAUCAAAUGUGCAGCGCCCAACCGUCGAGCAAAGUUUUCAAUCAAAAUGGUGGAUUUCAACCAGUUGGUAUUCAUGCAUGGCACGGGUCAGUCUUGCUUUACUUUGUUUGUGAUUGGUUAGGACUUUGAUGGAUAGAUGUUUACUCCCUCCAUACUAAAUUUAGGUCAUUUUGACACUUUUAAAUACAUAUAUUUUACUACGUAUCUAGAUAAUUAUAUCUUUAGGGGGCGUUUGGUUCCUUUGCUUAUUUUUAGCACGUGUCACAUCGAAUGUUUAGAUACUAAUUAGGAGUAUUAAACGUAGACUAUUUACAAAAUCCAUUAGAUAAGUGGAGGUUAAACGACAAGACGAAUCUAUUAAGCCUAAUUAAUCCAUCAUUAGCAAAUGUUUACUGUAGCAGUACAUUGUCAAAUCAUGGACUAAUUAGGCUUAAUAGAUUCGUCUCGUCGUUUAGCCUCCACUUAUGUAAUGGGUUUUGUAAAUAGUCUACGUUUAAUACUCCUAAUUAGUAUCUAAACAUUCGAUGUGACGGGUGCUAAAAAUAAGUGAGGGGAACCAAACAUCCCCUUAGGGCGGAGCUACGUUUAGGCAGGAUGGGGCGGCCGCCCCAGCUGCCCGCCGGCCUCACCUCAGACCCUUGCGUUGCUGGCCCCUAUUCGCCCCUAUCUCUACAUUUUUUUCUGUCGCGUCAGCUGCAACGAGCUAGCAUCGAAGAGGAGAUGUUGCGCAGCACCUGUCGCCUGAUGCAGCCUGUUCACUUCAGCUUAUCAACUGGCUUAUCAUCCACCAAUCAACCGGCUUAUCAGCUACCAAACAGUAUUUUUCUCUCACAACAAAUCAACCGUUUCAGUUUUCCAACCGGCUUAUAAGUCCAGCCGAAUAGGGCUAUGAUUUUACUGCUUGUUGGGCUGGACUAGCAGCAAGGCAGCAGCCUAAGGACUGACGCGUGAGCCAGGGAGGACGGAGGGACCCCAUCGUAUGUUCGUAGCUCUCCGGCGCGCACUCCAACUCAGAAAAAUUCUUCCGCGCACUCGCCCACCACACACAGUCGCGGCGCAUGUGUCUCUCUUUCUCCGCCGGCGCCCACGCCAGGCUAUGUCUCUUGUGUUGCAUACUCUCAGAAACAACAGACUUACAGACAGCUGAUCUCCAAUUUUCAAAUUCCCCAUCCAUUCGCUCAUCUAUAUAUGCUUGUGCAAUCGUGCUCGCUCGUCGCUUCCAACCCUAGUGGCCUAGCCGGCAUGCGGCACACGCCAGCGUUGGCACACAGAGCAGGAACGACGGACGCAGCGCCAGCACAAGGAGCAGUACUGGCGACCGACUGCGCGAGCUGCGAGCACAUAGAGGAGGAGCAGCAGCCGGCAGUGCUACGCGAAGCAGUAUUAGACGAUCCAUAAUAUGUUUUGUAUUUUACAAUGUAUAUCACAUUUGCAAAUUUGUUCCUCAAAAUUGAGGUUGCGUUAUUACUCCUUUAAUUUUGUGCUAUAUUUUUAGUAACGUGCAUGUCGGUGUGAAUUGGUGCAUUUUUUUGUUUAAUUUAGUCUCUGAUAUGUACCCGUUAGGGUUGGUUCCCGAUCUUUCAAUACGAGGGCGUGGGGUAACUCGAUGGGUGGAUAGAGGCCCGACUAUAGCCUUCCAAGCUGCACCUUAGCAACCGAUAUACCACCUCCAAUGGUUGCCGCGAUCUUGUGGAGCGCGUCACCCGGCCACUAGGGCACUCGUCCUGCGAGCAAUUGAAGAACUAGCAAGAACAAGUAUAACAAGUACUGAAUUUACAAGAUGUAGAUGAAGAUUUCAAUCUCAAUCUCAAUAAUGGUGGGGUUCCGAAGACAAGAAGACGGAUGGUUGAUCCAGCACGCACGCUUACAACCAAGUAGCGAGAGCUAAACUUGAUCUAAACAAAAUUCAAUCUGUUUAUGGCGGCUCUAAUCCUUAUUGAUACCUAAGAGAAUGACCAAGGGGUGUUGGGGUUGUGCUCUAACCCUAGGAUGUGUUCCUAAUGGACCCAACUUGAUACACGGCCCAUCAGGCCAAAAUAAGGCGAUGCAGCGCCUUUGGACAGAAAACCUCUUAGUAGUAAUUUAGUCAUUGUGGCUGCCUCAGAAAAGAUAUGGACUUGAAUCCGGAUCCAUUUGAAAAUAGACUUCAUAAGGAUUCUAAGGAGUACUCGAACGACCAAAACGGAGCCUGGAUGAGGUUGUCGCGGCUGUCACAAGUUGGCGCAGUGUUGUAGUCCGAAUCCAGCCCCAAAACGUGUUGGAUUGGAUCUCUUUCUUUCCUUGGGCCAAAAGUGACGUUGUGGCCUAGUGGAGGAUGUUGGGAAUACUUGAACUUGACCCCAAUCAACUUCUUUAGUCCUCCAUACCUUCCACGUAUGUUUAACACUCUUUUUGAUCCACGUAUGUAUUUCUAAAAAUGACAUCAUGGUGCAGCAUCAAUUUAUCAAAUGUAUCAAAUACAACCAUGGUAAAGAAUUGUUUUACCUAUGAAUCAAAAGUUGCUAAUGUGGUUCUAUCCGAGCAGUGAUGUCCUCAUCAUUCUCCCCUUCUUGACUGCAAGUCGUCCUCGACUUGCUCCAACGGCAUUCAAAGAUGCUUGCUUUGAUGUUGGAACAUGGAGCGAUGAUCAUGCUGCAUGGCCACAACCAGUAAUGCUCCCUUUCUUUGGUCUUACCCUGUUGCAUAUGGGAAAAACUAUAAGCUUGCCAAGGGUCAAAAAUGAGCCUUAAGCAAUAUCAUGUUCAUCUCUCCAGAGAUGAACAUAUGCCUGCCAGCUCCCGAGCCUUGGUAGGUAUUCGAAGAAACUAGCCAAGGGUCUCAAGACAGGAGCUUUUACAGGCCUACAAUAAUCUCAAUUGGUGAAAGGUUCCAGAAGAUGCUUUUACAGGCCUACAAUAAUCUCAAUUGGUGAAAGGUUCCAGAAGAUGUUAAUCGUAAGCAAGAAGAUUGUUUACGAAGAAACAACAAGAAAAAUUCAUAUUCUGAUACAUAAGAGUUAUAUAGGAAUUGAAAUAGUCUUUUAUUUUCUUUUUUCAAGAGAAAAACCGAUUUCAUUGAAGUAAUAAGACUACUCCAAUUCGAAUAAUAGUUGAGAAAGAAUCGCAAUAAAUGCAAAGAUGGAACAUAUUGAAUCCGGUAUUCAAGGAGUUGAACUAGGAUUUCUAAAUGGAUAGGAUAGGGUAUUUCUAUAUGUGAUAGAUAAUGUAAAUGCAAAAAUUUGUCUUCUAAAAAGGGAAAUAUUGAAUGAAUAGAUUGUAAAUUUUUAAACUUUAUUAUUUCUUUUUCUUCCGUAGAAGAUAGUUGCCCUAGCGAAAGUGGGAUUUCUACAACGAUCGCAAACCCCUCAGAUAGAAUCUGAGAAUAAAACUCAGAAUAAAAAUAAUUGCUGUGAUCCAACAAUCGAUCUUGGUUAGGCUGAUUAACCGAAUUAAUCCCAAAAUUCUGCUGAUACAUUCGAAUAAUUAAACGUUUCACAAGUAGUGAACUAAAUUUCUUGUUAUUACAACCAAAAAUUUCCACAGGCUUGGCACCAUUUAAUCCAUAAUCAUGGGCAAAUGCAUAAAUAUAUUCCUAAAAGAGAAGGGGAUAGACGAAGUCUUGUUGAUGAGAUUUCUGUUUUUCUGAAUACCCCUCAAAUUUUUCCAUUUGUAUUUCUACUUGAAUCAGAGAAAAAAAGCAUUUCUCAGUUUAUCAAAUGAUGAUAUGAUACAUAGUGCAAUAUGGUCAGAACAAGGUGUUGCAUAAUACAAGCCCUGGAAAGAAAGGAAGUCUAAUCCAUAGAUCUUUUUCCGCUCCUUUUCUAUCCAAUUAGUUUAUGUUUGUUCUAAUUAGAAAACAAACAAGAACAAAUCUUUUAUUUUUGCGGGCCAAUCGCUCUUUUGACUUUGGAAUACAGUCUCUUUAUCAAUAUACUGUUUCUUUUACACAUUCAAUUCAUAACAUCCCUUUUCAAUCCAUAAUCAAGAAUAAUUAGGAUUUCUAAAAAAAAAAGUAAAGGGUCCACUCAUAGGAAAACCUAACCUUUCCCCGCAUCAGGCACUAAUACAUUUUUAACGUCUAAUUAGAUCGGGGAAUCCUUCCAAUUAAGAAGUUAAGCUCGUUGCUUUUUAUUUUAUCAGAAUUAGAGCCAGGCUCUAUCCAUUAAUCACUAGACCCAGAAAAUCAAAAAAAAAUAUUCAAAAAAAAGAAAUUAAUUGUAUUACGACAUGCUAUUUUUUCCAUUCAUUACCUUUGAGGAUCAGUCGUGGUCUUCUAGACUCUACCAAGAGUCUGGACGAAGUUGUUGUUUCAUCCAAAUGUGUAAAAGAUCAUAGUCGCACUUAAAAGCCGAGUACUCUACCAUUGAGUUAGCAACCCAGCUAAAAUAGGAUCUCUUAGACACGAUCGAAAUCCAAAAAUCAAUGGAAUUACACCGGACGCUCCUGUCAAAACAUUGAAUUAGCAAGACAUAAAAAGAAAGAUUUUAUCACCCAUUAAAAACACUCAAAUACCAAAAUGAACUGAUCCCGUACAAUUUCACUACGGGUAAAAAAGGAGCGGCCGCAAUCACAAUGGCAAAAUUGUCAUUUUUUUAGCAAUUUUUAUAUCUUUAAAUAAACAAAUCUUCUAUAGAGAGUACAUGCAAGGGGGGCAACCCUAUCAUUUGAGCGAAGUGUAGAUAGAAAUACCUAAUAUGGAGUGAUGAUAAAGAGAUCCAGCUAUCUACAAAUUCUAUUUGUUUAAUAGACCUUUGUCAAUGGAAAUACAAUGCAAUUAGAUACAAAAAGGAAAUAAAAUAAGGACUUUUGUUGGAUUGGCACGACAUAAAUGCAACAAAAAAAUAAGACUAAGAAAGAGGUUGUGUCUAAGAAAUUAAGAGGUACUAGCGUCCCCUCCUACUUUUUUAUUCAUUUAGUUCUUCAAUUAACUCAAAGUUCAUUCUUUAUCUUUAAAGAAUUCUGCUUUCCUUAAAAUAUCAUAAACUAUUCUUGUAGGUUGAGCACCCGUUUCAAGGAAAUAGAGAAUAGCUGGAACAUUUAAACAAGUUUGAUUCUUUAUUGGAUCAUAAAAACCCACUUUUUGAAGAUCUCUUCCUUCUCUUCGAGAUCGAACAUCAAUUGCAACGAUUCGAUAGAUAGCUUAUUGGGAUAGAUGUAGAUAAACAACCCCUCCCCUAGAAACGUAUAGGAGGUUUUCUCCUCAUACGGCUCGAGAAAAUGAUUCUAAUUUCUAUCUAUAAUACUAAUUUCUAUCUAUAAUAUAAGUAGAUAGAAAUUAGGUUAUGACUUGCAUUAAUUUCCUUAAAGAAAAGAAAAAACAAAUUUCAUUUAUACUCAUGACUCAAGUUUGCUAAUUUUGACUGAGAGACUUCAAAAGAAAAACCCUUCAAAAUUUUUUGAGUCGUCUCUAAACUCUUUUCUUUAUCUCAUCUCGAACAAAUUUACUUUAUUCCUUAUUCUGAUCUAAUUCUAUUGUUGAGAUGGUUGAAGAUCGUGUUUACUUGUUCUGGAAUCCUUUAUCUUUGAUUUGUGAAAUCCUUGGGUUUAGACAUUACUUUGGAAAUUCCUAUUCUUUUUUCUUUGAAAAGAGUAGCAACAUACCCUUUCUUUUUUCUUAUUUCCUUCAAUAAAGCAUUUCACUCUUCUAUAGAAAUCAAAUAUGAACGAUUGAUUCAGAUAGACUUUUAAUCGAAAAAGUUUUUCCAAUCUUCCAAAAUUUGACUUUUUCUUAUUUUAACCUUUUUAUUUCUAUAUUAACGAUAGACUGACAAAGUUGGUCUAAUUUAUUAGUUUUCACUAACCCUAGAUUCUUUCCCUUGAUAAAAAAGAAAUUCUGUCCUCUCGAGCUCCAUCGUGUACUAUUUACCUACAAACAACCCAGCGCAAAUUAGGUUCGGGACAAAUAGAACAGACUAUGUCGAGCCAAGAGCAUUUUCAUUACUAUGGAAAAUGAUGGAUAGAAAAAUCCACAAUCGAUCAUGUCCUUCAAGUCGCACGUUGCUUUCUACCACAUCGUUUUAAACGAAGUUUUACCAUAACAUUCCUCUAAUUUCAUUGCAAAAUGGUAUCAAGAAUUGAUCCAAUAUGGAAGGAAUCAUGAAUAGUCAUUGAUUUUGUAU